UACGAAGGGGGCUAGCGUUGCUCGGAAUCACUGGGCGUAAAGGGUGCGUAGGCGGGUUUUUAAGUCAGGGGUGAAAUCCUGGAGCUCAACUCCAGAACUGCCUUUGAUACUGAAGAUCUUGAGUCCGGGAGAGGUGAGUGGAACUGCGAGUGUAGAGGUGAAAUUCGUAGAUAUUCGCAAGAACACCAGUGGCGAAGGCGGCGCUCUGGGCUGGAACUGACGCUGAGGAGCGAAAGCGUGGGGAGCGAACAGG
rnacentral:rRNA from 1 species